rnacentral:rRNA from 1 species
UCUGUUUCAUUUAAAAUUUAGUUAGAAUUUUAUUUUUUAGUUAAAAAGCUAAAAUAUAUUCAAAAGACGAGAAGACCCUAUAAAUCUUGAUUAUUUAGUAAUUUUUAGUUUAUUUUGAUUUUUUUUAUUAUAAAUUUAUUAAUUAAUUUUAUUGGGGUGAUAUUAAAAUUUAAAUAACUUUUAAUAAUUUUUAUCAUUUAUUUAUGAUUAAGUGAUCCAUUAUUAGUGAUUAGAAAAUUAAGUUACUUUAGGGAUAACAGCGUAAUUUUUUUGGAGAGUUCUUAUCGAUAAAAAAGUUUGCGACCUCGAUGUUGGAUUAAGAUUCAUAUUUAAAUGUAGAAGUUUAAAUAUAAAGUCUGUUCGACUUUUUAUUCUUACAUGAUCUGAGUUCAAACCGGUGUAAGCCAGGUUGGUUUCUAUCUUUGAUUUGGUAAAAUAUUUUAGUACGAAAGGAAUUAAUAUUUAUUUUAAAAAAAUU